UUACAUUUCGUUUAUAUUGUCAAACGUUACCAAAUCUUUAGCCAUGCACUAAAAGAGGGCCCCACAGAAUGCAUCUUUUUUUUUUAAUCCAGCGCACCCAGAGAAAGAGCGAAAUAUAAACACUGAAAUAUUUUUUAUUUGCCGAAAACCAUAUCAGCAGCAUACAACGAGAAUGAGAUAGACAGAAGGAUUUUGUGAUGCAUUGCAUUUCAUUUCCCAUUGAUUUUCACACUUUUGUUGCAGUGGCAAAUUGGUGCCGCCACUUCCCGACACAGAAAACAAUUACGUACGAAAAUACAAGUAGAUAUGCAAAAAAUGGGGUUCAUAGUUAUUGUAAACACAAUUUUAAAUUGCAUAAAGUGAAAAUGCGAUCGCCAAGAUACAAGAAGUUACUUCGACAACGUAAACGACAGGGUGCUCUUUUCACUUCAAAUCAGCACAGCUUUUUGUCGUUCUCAUAACUUUUGCACAUAUAUACAUACAUACGUGCAUGAACUGCUACACAUCAUUGCAUCACAAUAACGACGAGCGUAUCAAGGCCUUAAAGGACUGGUCUAACUUGACCGAAUAAUGUAUCGCAUUUGUUAUCAUAGAGAUUCCAAUACUCAAAUAUGGAAAAAACCAAU